ACAUACCUUGAAUUACCUUGUAAUGAGGGAAGCUCGCAAGAGCAAGGAUACAGGUGGUGCAUGGUUGUCGUCAGCUCGUGUCGUGAGAUGUUGGGUUAAGUCCCGCAACGAGCGCAACCCUUGUUGUUAAUUGCUAACAGGUUAAGCUGAGCACUUUAGCGAGACAGCCUAGGUUAACUAGGAGGAAGGUGGGGAUGACGUCAAUUCAUCAUGCCCCUUACGUUUAGGGCUACACACGUGCUACAAUGGUGAGAACAGAGAGAAGCAAGCUAGUGAUAGUGAGCAAAACUUAUAAAACUCAUCUCAGUUCGGAUUGCAGGCUGAAACUCGCCUGUAUGAAGAUGGAGUUGCUAGUAAUCGCGAAUCAGAAUGUCGCGGUGAAUACGUUCCCGGGUCUUGUACACACCGCCCGUCACACCAUGAGAGUUGGCAACACCUGAAACCUGUGGGCUAACCAUAUAGGAGGCAGCAGUCUAAGGUGGGGUCAGUGAUUGGGGUGAAGUCGUAACAAGGUAGCCGUAGGAGAACCUGCGGUUGGAUCA
rnacentral:rRNA from 1 species